CAGUAGCACAGGAACAGAGCAGGAGGGAGAGAGAGAGAAAGAGAGCCAGGGACAACAACAUCACAUUAGAAAGGUUGUUGCUCUUUAACUCCUAGAACACGCCCUUGGCGAGGUGGGGGGAACUGGACCACCUUUCUGUGCCCCAUCAUCCUCUAUUAGACGACAUCCAAGCUAAGUAAACAUGUCUUGGCCCUUUCCCCCUGAAAUGACAGGCAGGCAAAGAUGUUGCGUCUUUCUUUGCUUCCUGGCCCUGGGUCUCAUUCCCAUUGGCAUAAUCCUGAUCUGUGAAGGGCCCCCGACACUUCUGACACCUUCAAGUUCAAAAGCUUCGCCCCCUUCUGACAGUCCCAAUCUGACAAAUGUAGCCCCUAGGGUCUUGCCCACCACUUCCUCUCCAGUUUUACCAUAUUCACUUUUGAAUGUCCUUAGCAGUUACCGUUCUGAGUUUAUUUUACGGUUGAUUUAUUCUUUCACAUUUUCACGUUUAUAUCUCUCAUUAUUAUAGUAUACUCUGUACUCUCCACAUUUUUAUCAUUACUUAUGCUUUUUGGUUGCUGAGUUACAGGAACUGUUAAUUUUGUGUCACUACCCUGGUUGCACUAACUCGUUGUACCCUUGUGUGCAGGACAGCUGUUACUGCUUUCGUCGGGAACCGAGACUGCUUGCAGCCGACCCCUGGGCAGGGUGGUGCCUGGACUCUUUUCUCCUCAUCUGCAAUGACAGAUAAAGACAAAUGAAAAGACCCGAGGAGUUUUUCGAGCCAGGCUUCGACACGUCUCUGUGUUCCUUUGAAUGUUACUUAUUUUUGUGUGUUGACCCAUUUAAGAUGGGUCAAAAGGGGGAUUUGAAGAAAAUAUAAUCUGAUCAAACAUUAUUCAGCUUUAAAUAUUGUUCAGCUUUAAAGUUACUGUGCAACUGUGUAAUAAAAAUAUGUGCUCACGACUUUGGCCUUGAGAGCGAUAAGAAGCGAUCGCCUCAUUCUGCAGGUGCAAGAUAUCUGCAAGCGAAGAGACUAGAACACCCAAGGCCGCUUUCCUUUUAUGGAGUUGUUUUUCUGCUAAUGCAGCACUGUCCUCACAACCCCCUCCUGUAAGUUUUAGAGAAUAUAUACCCAUCCUCACAGCAAAUAUUGGGAAUCUCCUGAUGUGAGCUGUUUGAGAGGUUGUCUCUGUCUCAAUAAAAGUUCACUGAUUCCCCCAUCUGCAGCAGGUGUCCGGUUGUCUUCAUUCUCCGCCAGCCUGGUUAAGUCAAUUCCUCCUUAACAUCUAAAAGAACCUAUUUAAUGAAGGAAGACGGGUUCACUUUGUGUUUAAUAUUAUUCUAUUGCUGUUGUUGUUUUUUUUUAUAUCCUUCAGUGGGC
ensembl:lncRNA